rnacentral:rRNA from 1 species
UAAUACGUAGGGUGCGAGCGUUAAUCGGAAUUACUGGGCGUAAAGCGUGCGCAGGCUGUUUUGUAAGUCAGAUGUGAAAUCCCUGGGCUCAACCUAGGAACUGCGUUUGAAACUACAAGACUAGAAUAUGUCAGAGGGGGGUAGAAUUCCACGUGUAGCAGUGAAAUGCGUAGAGAUGUGGAGGAAUAUCAAUGGCGAAGGCAGCCCCCUGGGAUAAUAUUGACGCUCAUGCACGAAAGCGUGGGGAGCAAACAGG